GAUGAAGAACGUAGCGAAAUGCGAUAAGUAGUGUGAAUUGCAGAAUUCAGUGAAUCAUCGAAUCUUUGAACGCACAUUGCGCCCCUUGGUAUUCCAUGGGGCAUGCCUGUUCGAGCGUCAUUUGUACCUUCAAGCUUUGCUUGGUGUUGGGUGUUUGUCCUGAGGGACUCGCCUUAAAGUAAUUGGCAGCCAGUGUUUGGUUUUGAAGUGCAGCACAAGUCGCGAUUCAAGGCUAUACACCAGCUUCCACAAGCCUUUUUCACUUUUGACCUCGGAUCAGGUAGGGAUACCCGCUGAACUUAAGCAUAUCAAUAAGCGGAGGA
rnacentral:misc_RNA from 1 species